rnacentral:rRNA from 1 species
AUUGAACGCUGGCGGCAUGCCUUACACAUGCAAGUCGAACGGUAACAGGUCUUCGGAUGCUGACGAGUGGCGAACGGGUGAGUAAUACAUCGGAACGUGCCCGAUCGUGGGGGAUAACGAGGCGAAAGCUUUGCUAAUACCACAUACGAUCUACGGAUGAAAGCGGGGGAUCUUCGGACCUCGCGCGGGCGGAGCGGCCGAUGGCAGAUUAGGUAGUUGGUGGGAUAAAAGCUUACCAAGCCGACGAUCUGUAGCUGGUCUGAGAGGAUGAUCUGCCACACUGGGACUGAGACACGGCCCAGACUCCUACGGGAGGCAGCAGUGGGGAAUUGUGGACAAUGGGCGAAAGCCUUAUCCAGCCAUGCCGCGUGCAGGAUGAAGGCCUUCGGGUUGUAAACUGCUUUUGUACGGAACGAAAAGCCUCUUUCUAAUAAAGAGGGGUCAUGACGGUACCGGAAGAAUAAGCACCGGCUAACUACGUG